rnacentral:rRNA from 1 species
CGCCCUUAGAGUUUGAUCAUGGCUCAGGACGAACGCUGGCGGCGUGCCUAAUACAUGCAAGUCGAACGCAGCUUGCUUUGGUAAGAUGAGUGGCGAACGGGUGAGUAACACGUGGGUAACCUGCCUAUCAGAGGGGGAUAACACUUGGAAACAGGUGCUAAUACCGCAUAGAUUUCUUUCGCAUGAAAGGAGAGGAAAGACGUACGUGUCACUGAUAGAUGGACCCGCGGUGCAUUAGCUAGUUGGUGAGGUAACGGCUCACCAAGGCCAUGAUGCAUAGCCGACCUGAGAGGGUGAUCGGCCACACUGGGACUGAGACACGGCCCAGACUCCUACGGGAGGCAGCAGUAGGGAAUCUUCGGCAAUGGACGAAAGUCUGACCGAGCAACGCCGCGUGAGUGAAGAAGGUUUUCGGAUCGUAAAACUCUGUUGUUAGAGAAGAAUAGGUAGGGAUGACUUCCUGCCAUGACGGUAUCUAACCAGAGAGCCACGGCUAACUACGU